AACGAACGCUGGCGGCAUGCCUAACACAUGAAGUCGCACGAGACCUUCGGGUCUAGUGGCGCACGGGUGCGUAACGCGUGGGAACCUGCCCUUAGGUUCGGAAUAACUCCCCGAAAGGGGUGCUAAUACCGGAUAAUGUCUUCGGACCAAAGAUUUAUCGCCUUUGGAUGGGCCCGCGUUGGAUUAGCUAGUUGGUAGGGUAAAAGCCUACCAAGGCGACGAUCCAUAGCUGGUCUGAGAGGAUGAUCAGCCACACUGGGACUGAGACACGGCCCAGACUCCUACGGGAGGCAGCAGUGGGGAAUAUUGGACAAUGGGCGAAAGCCUGAUCCAGCAAUGCCGCGUGAGUGAUGAAGGCCUUAGGGUUGUAAAGCUCUUUUACCCGGGAUGAUAAUGACAGUACCGGGAGAAUAAGCUCCGGCUAACUCCGUG
rnacentral:rRNA from 1 species